rnacentral:rRNA from 1 species
CACCGCCCGUCACACCAUGGGAGCGGGCUGCUACAGAAGUCGGUGAGCCAACCCCGCAAGGGGGGGGCAGCCGCCUAAAGAAGUGGCUCGUGACUGGGGUG